rnacentral:rRNA from 1 species
CCGGCGACCGGCGCACGGGUGCGUAACGCGUAUCAAACCUGCCUCAUACUCGGGGAUAGCCUUACGAAAGUAAGAUUAAUACCCGAUAUUAUUAGUUCUCCGCAUGGUGGAUUAAUCAAAGAUUUAUCGGUAUGAGAUGGUGAUGCGUCCGAUUAGGUAGUAGGCGGGGUAACGGCCCACCUAGCCUUCGAUCGGUAGGGGUUCUGAGAGGAAGGUCCCCCACACUGGAACUGAGACACGGUCCAG